rnacentral:rRNA from 1 species
UACGUAGGUGGCAAGCGUUGUCCGGAAUUACUGGGUGUAAAGGGAGUGUAGGCGGGACUUCAAGUCCGUUGUGAAACCGAUCGGCUCAACCGAUCGUUGCGGCGGAAACUGGAGUUCUUGAGUGAGGUAGAGGCAGGCGGAAUUCCCAGUGUAGCGGUGAAAUGCGUAGAUAUUGGGAGGAACACCAGUGGCGAAGGCGGCCUGCUGGGCCUUAACUGACGCUGAGGCUCGAAAGUGUGGGGAGCAAACAGGAUUAGAUACCCUGGUAGUCCACACUGUAAACGAUGAUUACUAGGUGUGGGGGGACUGACCCCUUCCGUGCCGGAGUGAACACAAUAAGUAAUCCACCUGGGGAGUACGACCGCAAGGUUGAA